AGGACAAGAAGGCUGUGUUCAGAUAGACAGAGUUUGUCUUCUGGGAGAGGAGUGGGCUUAUCCAGGAUGAUCCCAAAGGCAGAUUGAGGACCAGUGGGAGGACAUCCUGAGAAAGCAGAUCCAGCUUUAGGCAAGGAAGGACUUCGUAACAGGCAGAGAGCCCAUGUUGGAAACAAGCAGCUCUGCAAGGUGUGGGCCCACUGUCUGACUCCCUGCGGGGCUGCUGCCUUGGAAGAGCCUCCUGCUUAGAGAGGUUCUCCUGCCGCCAGCUGUCUCUCCUGAGUCCUGAGCACCACAUCUCUGGACCGUCUGGAGCCUCCCCUCCCUUGGCUUACUGCUCCCACCACCCUCUCUCUCCACCUUGCAAGAGACACUCUCCCUCAUCCUGGGUCAUCACCCUCUUUAGAGGCGCCGCCUGGCCACGAGGUGGGCAGGAUCUUGGCCUUACUUGAUGCAGUGCACACCUCCAACAGGCAUCAGAUGGAGUGCAGCCGGGAGCAAGAUUCUCAUAGCAAUUACAAAGAUUCACAAGAAAAUGUGCCCUCCACUACACAGCUGUAAUUUACAUGCUUUCAAACUUGAUAUGGAAUGACUGUGGUUUCCCCUGAAAGAAGCAUCACUGAUCUCUGCACAGGAGAAACAAGGAUCUUGCUCUGUCACCUAGGCUGGAGUGCAAUGGCACACUCACGGCUCACUGCAGCGUCAAACUCCCAGGCUCAAGUGUUCCUCCUACCUCAGCCUCCUGAGUAGCUAGGACCACAGGCCCAGACACAAAGCAGAUGUGCAGUGGAGUGUGAAAGAGGCAGCCAACUCACUGGGGAGCUUCAGAGGGAGAUGGCCCAAAUUGCUGGGGCCUAAGAAUCUCCCGGAAUGAAGGAACAGUAGAAAGAACUGGAAGCCAAAUAUGGUGAUAGAGACUCUCAUCAAGGACACUGAGUAAACCAGAAACCUGCUUGGGCUCACGUUCCUUGUCUCUUCUUCUCAGAUCCAGGAAAGGAGCUGUCCAGGACAAUGAGGAUAGGCUGAGGAAAGACAGGCCACGGCCUUGCCUCUGUGCCAGCUCUCAUGGGCCAGGCAGAGUAUCCCAGGACAACUGCCUCCACAACCAGCUCCAUCCUUCAUCAGCAAUUCAGUACCUGAUUAACAAAUCUGUACCCCAGGAGGUUAUGCCAAGUCCAACUUCUUCCAGAGACCACAACAAUAAAUCCAAGCCACUGCUAAUGUCAUUUAUAAGCUGUGGGAUUAAAACAGAGAAGCAAUCAAUUAAUUAAAAUUAGCUCUUUAUUGAAA
rnacentral:lncRNA from 1 species